CCUCAAAUCAGGCAGGACUACCCGCUGAACUUAAGCAUAUCAAUAAGCGGAGGAAAAGAAACUAACAAGGAUUCCCCUAGUAACUGCGAGUGAAGCGGGAAAAGCUCAAAUUUAAAAUCUGGCGGCUUCGCCGUCCGAGUUGUAAUCUGGAGAAGCGUUUUCCGUGUUGGACCGUGUACAAGUCUCUUGGAACAGAGCGUCAUAGAGGGUGAGAAUCCCGUCUUUGACACGGACUACCAAUGCUUUGUGAUACGCUCUCGAAGAGUCGAGUUGUUUGGGAAUGCAGCUCAAAAUGGGUGGUAAAUUCCAUCUAAAGCUAAAUAUUGGCGAGAGACCGAUAGCGAACAAGUACCGUGAGGGAAAGAUGAAAAGCACUUUGGAAAGAGAGUUAAACAGUACGUGAAAUUGUUGAAAGGGAAACGCUUGAAGUCAGUCGCGUUGUCCGGGACUCAGCCUUGCUUCUGCUUGGUGUAUUUCCUGGUUGACGGGCCAACAUCGAUUUUGGACGGCGGAUAAAGGUGAGGGGAAUGUGGCAUCCUCGGAUGUGUUAUAGCCUCUCGUCGGAUGCGUCGUCUGGGAUCGAGGACCGCAGCACGCCUUUUUGGCCGGGGUUCGCCCACGUAACGUGCUUAGGAUGUUGGCAUAAU
rnacentral:rRNA from 1 species